GCCCCCGUAGCUCAGUAGGACAGAGCAACGGUUUCCUAAACCGUAGGUCACAGGUUCGAAUCCUGUCGGGGGUA
rnacentral:tRNA from 1 species